UACGUAGGGUGCAAGCGUUAAUCGGAAUUACUGGGCGUAAAGCGUGCGCAGGCGGUUUUGUAAGUCUGUCGUGAAAUCCCCGGGCUCAACCUGGGAAUGGCGAUGGAGACUGCAAGGCUAGAAUCUGGCAGAGGGGGUAGAAUUCCACGUGUAGCAGUGAAAUGCGUAGAGAUGUGGAGGAACACCGAUGGCGAAGGCAGCCCCCUGGGUCAAGAUUGACGCUCAUGCACGAAAGCGUGGGGAGCAAACAGG
rnacentral:rRNA from 1 species